CCUACGGGAGACAGCAGUGAGGAAUAUUGGUCAAUGGACGGAAGUCUGAACCAGCCAUGCCGCGUGCAGGAAGACGGCUCUAUGAGUUGUAAACUGCUUUUGUACAAGGGUAAACCUGUAUACGUGUGUUCAGCUGAAAGUACUGUACGAAUAAGGAUCGGCUAACUCCGUGCCAGCAGCCGCGGUUAUACGGAGGAUCCAAGCGUUAUCCGGAUUUAUUGGGUUUAAAGGGUGCGUAGGCGGAUUGAUAAGUUAGAGGUGAAAUGUUCGAGCUUAACUCGGGAACUGCCGCUAAUACUGUUGAUCUAGAGAGUAGAUGCGGUAGGCGGAAUGUAUGGUGUAGCGGUGAAAUGCUUAGAGAUCAUACAGAACACCGAUUGCGAAGGCAGCUUACCAAUCCAUAUCUGACGUUGAGGCACGAAAGCGUGGGUAGCAAACAGGAUUAGAUACCCUAGUAGUC
rnacentral:rRNA from 1 species